CCGCAGGUGCGGGAGAUGAAAGGCCGCACCGCCCCCAGCCCGCCGCCCGCCGCCAUGGAAGCAGCGCCCGCCCCGGCUCUCCUGAGCGUCCCGCAGGCCGAGGUGCUGGAGGACGUGCUGCGGGAGCAGUUCGGGCCGCUGCCCCAGCUGGCCGCCAUCUGCCGGCUCAAGCGGCUGCCCUCGGGCGGCUACUCCUCGACCGAGGACCUCCAGUUGGUGCUGGAGCGGCGGCGCGUGGCCAACGCCAAGGAGCGCGAACGGAUAAAAAAUCUCAACCGUGGUUUUGCCAAACUGAAGGCGCUUGUGCCAUUUCUUCCCCAAAGCAGGAAGCCUAGCAAGGUUGAUAUCCUUAAAGGUGCAACUGAAUACAUACAAGUUCUCAGUGAUGUUUUGGAAGGAGCCAAAGACUCGGAGAGACAAAAUCUGGAUCACCAGAGCUAUAGCAACAAUGUUUCUGAACCACCUAUAUCAUUGGCUAGAGGUCUAUCGAGAAACAUCACCCAACAUGCCAGCUGUACUGUGGGCUUGAAGAACGAGGAGGAGAGGCCCUGGGCAGAUGGUGGCAGUGGUGAGUCAGCACACACUUGUCGCCAGAGCAUGAUGUCCACGACCGGAGUUAUCUCCCCAACCAGGAGUCUGACUGUUGUUGCUGGGAACUGAAAUAUGAAGCUAACUGUGGACUUCUGGAUAGAUUCCUAGAAGUGGAAGUCCUGAGUCACAGGCUCCCCCAAGUAUGAAAAGUGAAAAGUGCCAUCCCAGGGCUACCUUCUAGAGACAAAUAAAUGCAGCUUGAAAGUC